UUAUUACAGUAGAUAUUCGGUAACAAUCUAGGUAGUUGGUAUUGUAGUUUAUUUUUAGCUUAUUAUUAUAAAUAUCAACGCCGUUAUUAAUAGUGGAAAUUGGACCAAUUUCCUUUUUUAAUUACGGCCAAUUUAAUUGGUAAACAAUCCACGUUGACCAAGGGUAAGGAAAUUCAAAAUUCAUCGGCGUUUCUGUUCGUUGUUUGAUUAACCAGAGGGAACAUUGACAUUGAGGCAAUAUACACUACUGCGCCUACUUUUUUCGCUGAGCUGUGUUAGUCUUUUUGUUAUUAUUAUUUUUUUUCGAAAUUUUGAAAGACACAUAUCUGGAAUCUGAAUUCUGAUCAUCACAAUAUUUCAUCACAUAUCUGAAGUAUUUUUGUUUGGCAACGUCUUAUGGAUCGCAUGUUCGGAUUGUUCGCAUCAUUUGUCAUUUCGUCUGUGGCGUGGUCUGAUCUGUUCGUUCGUUCGUUCGUUCGUUCGUAUUGUUUCUCAAUUGGGAAGAGUGAGUGUGAGUGUCUGAGUGAUCCACGCUGCGUUGAACAAUAGAAGGCAAUUAAUCAUUUUCAAAAUAACAAUUAUUUCAAGGUUCUAUGUAGUAGGAAAGUUUGUAUCUGGUUCAAACAUGGACACGUUAAAUUCCAAAAGUUGUUAUGAAACUAGGUAAGUUAAACCAGCCUUCACAUUCAAAUUGUCCUCAAUGCUUAUUGAAAUUUUGUGUUGGUCAUAUCAUGUGGAGGAAGAGCUUGUGGGCUGGGCAGCCUGGGCUACAGGUGUAAAAAGAAAUCAGAAUAAUGGUAUUGAAAAAAUUUGCAAUCAGCACCAUGAUUCAAGAAAAUUGAUCGAAACAUCAUCCAAACUGAUCGAAGUUUUAACUUGACAGUGUUAGGGAAUAAGUUCAUCUUUAUUGAAAGUCAAAUCAAGCUUUCGUAAAGUGCAGCUCAUGGCAAGGGUGUGUUGACUCCACUCCUCCACACAAUUCUGUAAAACCAGAAAAGGAAGAUGUCAUUCUCAUGCAGUGGAAAUAGUUGAAGAAAAGUUGUCACAAGAUCAAAUGGACACAGAACUUGACACUUAUAACUUCAAGCUACACUUGCACUUAGUUUCAAGUUUGAAAAGGGUUUGAAUGCAGAAAACUCAAAACAUUUGAAAAAGAGCUGAAUCACGGAAAUUCAAUGGGUCAAUACUUGGAGUUCUCAUUCCAUGGUGCCUACCGCAACUUAUAGAUCUCGCUCUACGAACUACGAUGCAACGAUGGUGGAAGAAAAUGUCGACGAUGUAGUUUGGCGUUGAUAAAAGUUGCCUUCAUCCCCUGGCUGGUGAAGAAGAAGAGAUCCAGGUCUUUUAUUUAAUGGCAUCGCUUUUACGUGACACGAGUCUUCACAAACUGCUGAAUUCGAAGAAGGCAAACUACGCAAGCGGACAUCAGGCAAGGGGCAAUUUUGAAAACACAUCUGGACUCAAAAGCCUGCUGAAAAAUGAAACUUUGUUCUGGGCCUACGUCAGAAGAGUCUUUGCAGAUCGACCAACUAGAACUCCCCCCCCCCCCCCCCAAAAAAAAAAAAAAAAAAAACUGGCCGACUUUGAUUAGUCUCUAUACGCUCACGUGUCCGCUGAAGAAGUCGAAAGUUUUAUCUGUGAUCACGUUCGGCAGGUAAUGACUUGGAAUCGGGGAAUUCUCUGGUGGUCCUUGAGCGAAAACCGAUAGUUUGGCAGCCAUCGUCUCUUCCGCCCCAAUUACAGGAACUCAUCCUUGCCGAUCUGUUUGAAUUACAUCAGAAAAACAGAUGUUUGGCCCAUGCUCGGUCUGUUCUCAUUUCUUCCACUACACGUCUUCCCUCGUAAUACCGAGCCACUUACCUGUAAUCAUCAGCAAAGUUGCGAAAUUGUUCGCAUUCAUGUUCAGAUUUCCUAAACUGAAAUUAAAAACAAAACAUUAUAGUCAGGUUAGUACUGGAAGUAUCCUUUGUAGCACUUACUUUUACCAUCGAAUUUUAACACCACACGCAUCUGCGCUAUUAAUACCCAUUUAAAAAAUGCGGAGGGCUUUUUGCCUUUUUCCAGUUCGUUAUUUCCAAUUGAUUAACCGAAAAUGUUUUUGUUUUAAUAAUUUGUUUAAUCCAUCUGUUUAUAUUCAUGCAACCCUGCCCACUCCCCCUCGAUAUCAGUGCAAAUUUUUCAACAUAUUGGCCGUCUGACGUGUCGAUUCCUGUGCUGAACUGUGUUGUGGUGGUGUGAUUGUGAUGACAAUUCUCAUUCUAGGCUAAACUGCUGUUGAACAGUUGUCUGUUGUUACCUGUACUUCUCAUCCCAUGUAGAAACACGUCACAGCAGUAUAAGGAGAUGAUCCCUUUGCUUAACUACUGAAGAGUUUGAGAACAUGCAAAAUCUGAAUUUGAUUGCUGUCUCUUGUCUUUCAUGGCUUUUUUGUAGCUGGCUGGUUAAAGGUGUGGUCAAGUCAAGUUGAGCUGCUGCAUGCAGUCUAUAGAGCUGAUGUUAUGAAGUGUGGAAGGGUAACCAAACUGAAAGAUGUUCUUGGAAUGGACCCAUGGCAAGGUGAUAUUUCAACUUUACAAUGGUGCUCAAUAUGCAGUAGUUUUGUACCUAUUUCCAGUUCAAGCUGUUGGAUGCCUUCUGUAGUCCUGGUGUUAUCCUGGAAUGUGUUGAUUGUCAAUGCCUUUGUUUCUUGUACUGUGUUAUGCCUCUGUGAAGUACCUAGAUGAUUGGACCCAGUUGAAGAAGUUAAUGAUGUAGAUCUAGACAAGUGCAUAAUCUGGGCUCUCUUCUUUUCUGUGGCCCCGUUUCCCUAACUAACCACUAACCAACGCCCGCCGGUGGUCACUCACCCGCUGUGAUAACCAGGAGGAUGAGGAGGGCUCUGGUCGAACGGGGACUUGGAAGGCGCAUGAUCUGAUGAAAACUUUUGGAGGGUCAUGUGUCUAACCCUGAAGCCUAGUAUGACUAAUCUCUCCCUAGUAAAACUGGCCUCGCACUCUUCUCUCUUCUUCCAUGUCCAGGUUAUUUCCCUGGGCACAGUCAAUCAAGACAGUGUCUCCCCCUGUCUAGAUAGGCUGGACAUUGCAAGGGUAAAGUCAAGCAAGGGCUGUUGACCAAAUCAUCAGCAUCAAUCGGUAAAAUAAAAAUUUAAAGCAUUUGAAAAAAAUAACCUGGGAAAAUAAUAGUAAAUGUAAUUAACAUAAUUUAUUUUAAUUUAUUUACAAAUAUGUAUAAUUUAUUCAGAAUUUUGUUAAUUUUAUUCUGAAUUAUUUAUGUAUGCUUGUUAUUACCUCAAAUAAAUAUUUAAAAAUUUAAAUUAA